rnacentral:rRNA from 1 species
GUAGGUGGCAAGCGUUGUCCGGAACUAUUGGGCGUAAAGCGCGCGCAGGCGGUCCUUUAAGUCUGAUGUGAAAGCCCACGGCUCAACCGUGGAGGGUCAUUGGAAACUGGGGGACUUGAGUACAGAAGAGGAAAGCGGAAUUCCAAGUGUAGCGGUGAAAUGCGUAGAGAUUUGGAGGAACACCAGUGGCGAAGGCGGCUUUCUGGUCUGUAACUGACGCUGAGGCGCGAAAGCGUGGGGAGCAAACAGGGAUUAGAUACCCUGGUAGUCCACGCCGUAAACGAUGAGUGCUAAGUGUUAGGGGGUUUCCCGCCCCUUAGUGCUGCAGCUAACGCAUUAAGCACUCCGCCUGGGGAGUACGGCCGCAAGGCUG